UCUGACUUCGGUUAGAGAUUAUACUGGGCGGACGGGUGAGUAACGCGUAGGCAACCUGCCCUUAAGAUUGGGAUAACACCUGGAAACGGGUGCUAAUACCGGAUGUGGUCAUUUUGUUACAUGGCAGAGUGAUUAAAGCGGGGUUUCUCGCGCUUAAGGAUGGGCCUGCGUUCCAUUAGCUAGUUGGUAAGGUAACGGCUUACCAAGGAGACGAUGGAUAGCUGGUCUGAGAGGACGAUCAGCCACACUGGGACUGAGAUACGGCCCAGACUCCUACGGGAGGCAGCAGUGGGGAAUAUUGCGCAAUGCCUGAAAGGGUGACGCAGCGACGCCGCGUGGGUGAAGAAGCCUUAUGGAGUGUAAAGCCCUGUCAGAGGGGAAGAACAACUGUAUUUCGUAAGGGAUAUGGUAUGACGGUACCCUCAGAGGAAGCUCCGGCUAACUCCGUGCCAGCAGCCGCGGUAAUACGGGGGGAGCAAGCGUUGUCCGGAAUUACUGGGCGUAAAGGGCGUGUAGGCGGAUGCGUAAGUCAGAUGUGAAAUCCUACGGCUUAACCGUAGAGAGUCAUCUGAAACUGCGUAUCUUGAGUUCGAGAGAGGGUGGUGGAAUUCCCGG
rnacentral:rRNA from 1 species